ACUGGCGGAGACGUCUCAGAACACCUAACUUCAUAGAAAAUGUUUUAGCUAGAUAUGAGAUGUGAAGUUUCCAGUUCAGAUUAUAAGUAAAGGACACACCAAGGAUGUUCAGUGUAGAAGAGGGGGACAGUUGAGUGUCAUUGAAGAAGAGGGGAUAGUUGUCGAGUUGAUAGAUGGAGGAAUUGAGUUUUUGAGACAUUGAACAAUACCAAGUUUGCUCUGCCCCAAUCAGAAAUUCUAGAAAGAUCAGAUGUCAAACGUUCUGUGGCUUCCCUGCGUGAAAUGUUUACCUUCUGAAGGGUUGGACGUCUAUGAAAAUACGUGGAAAAGUGCAGGGUGGUAUCAUCAGCGUAGGAGUGGAUAGGACAAAAAGUUUGGUUUAGAAGAUCAUUAAUGAAUAAUAAGAAGAGAGUGGGUGACAGGACAGAACCCUGAGGAACACCACUAUUAAUAGAUUUAGGAGAAAAACAAUGACCGUCUACCACAGCAGCAAUAGAACGGUCAGAAAGGAAACUUGAGAUGAAGUUACAGAGAGGAGGAUAGAAGCCGUAGGAGGGUAGUUUGGAAAUCAAAGCUUUGUGUCAGACUGUAUCAAAAGCUUUUGAUAUGUCCAAGGCAACAGCAAAAGUUUCACCAAAAUCUCUAAAAGAGGAUGACCAGGACUCAGUAAGGAAAGCCAGAUCACCAGUAGAGCGGCCUUGAUGAAACCCAUACUGGCGAUCAGGUAGAAGGGUGUGAAGUGAUAGAUGCUUAAGAAUCUUCUGUUGAGGAUAGAUUAAAAAAACUUUAGAUAGGCAGGAAAUUAAAGCAAUAGAACGGUUGUUUGAGGGAUUAGAACGGUCACCCUUUUUAGGAACAGGCUGAAUGUAGGCAAACUUCCAGCAAGAAGGAAAGGUAGAUGUUGACAGACAGAGCUGAAAGAGUUUGACUAGGCAAGGUGCAAGCACGGAGGCACAGUUUCGGAGAAUAAUAGGAAGGACCCCAUCUGGUCCAUAAGCCUUCCGAGGGUUUAGGCCAACAAGGGCAUGGAAAACAUCAUUGCGAAGAAUUCUAAUAGGUAGCAUGAAAUAGUCAGAGGAUGGAGGAGAAGGAGGAACAAGCCCAGAAUCGUCCAUGGUAGAGUUUUUAGCAAAGGUUUGAGCGAAGAGUUCAGCUUUAGAAAUAGAUGUGUUAGCAGUGGUGCCAUCUGGUUGAAAUAAAGGAGGGAAAGAAGAAGAAGCAAAGUUAUUGGAGAUAUUUUUGGCUAGAUGCCAGAAGUCACGAGGGGAGUUAGAUCUUGAAAGGUUUUGACACUUUCUGUUAAUGAAGCAGUUUUUGGCUAGUUGGAGAACAGACUUGGCAUGGUUCCGGGCAGAAAUAUAAAGUGCAUGAGAUUCUGGUGAUGGAAAGCUUAAGUACCUUUUGUGGGCCACCUCACUCACGAAUACAUGAAAGAUGUAUUUCAUUAAUUUGUAAAUAUCGCUACAGAUUCAUAUUUAGUUCCAAACUUAUUCAAUUACUUUAGCGUCCUUCCAUGCCAGGGAGAAAAGAGAGACUCAGCUGGAAGAUAUGUCGGUCCGCGUAACUUUUGUCAUUACUGCAAACUGUGGCUAGUUAGAUGGAACGUCUGCUUGUGCUAUGUCAAAAAUGAAAGUGGUGUAUUUUCCCUUGUUACAUUUCUGAUUAAGGUGAAUGUCAUAGUUUUGAUAUUAGAUGGCAAUGUCACUGAGGUGCUCAGGCAGCUAGAUGUACUUCAUAGUUAUUGCACAUAUACCUGAGGCGCAGCGGACGAGGGGUCCAAGUGCAGGAGUGACAUCUGGUGGUAGAUGCCUUUUGUGAGGCAUCUCAUUUACACUCCGUUUUAUCAAGGCAACGAUUGUUGUAUUAUGGAGUAUUCAAACAUGAUAAAGAAUGAAGACGUCUGUUGCCUAAUGAGAGCAGAGUUACACAGAAAAGCUCUCUCGCACAAUGUUUGGGAAAUGAUUUGUGAGAAAGUAAAAAGUGCAAAGAAGGCACGAAGAAAUCCUCUUCGUGUUUCACCGCUGCUGAAAAACUCCAACCGCUUUCAUAAUGGCAAUUUUAAUGCGGGAUUUACAGUAACUGAUUUUCUCUUACUAUCCCGCAGUGAACACGAAUGUUGUACGAGGCAGAUCUUAAAUGACGGAUUCGCAGUCACAGCAAUAUGAGCUUUGACACCCCCAAUCACGCAAGGCACUACAGUACUGCACUGGCGUGUGGAGGAUGUUUUGCUUACACGUGACGGAGAGACGGUUGGCUGGCCUCACGCUCCAUCAAGGAACGUGCUGAUUCAUCCAACCCAGUGAUUUAAUAUGUGUGUGUGUGUGUGUGUGUGUGUGUGUGUGUGUGUGUGUGUGUGUGUGUGUGUGUGUGUGUGUGUGUGUGUGUGUGUGUGUGUGUGUGUGUGUGUGUGUGUGUGUGUGUGUCAGGGGAUACACCUAAGGAAAAAAAAAAGAGAGAUAAAAAGCCCACUCACAAUGCCGUUUGUGAAAAGAAACAUGAGAAUAAACAGGAGGGAUGGGAAAUUUUACUUCUGAGGUGUCUAGAUACUCUUUUCAAAUGGUUCAAGUAGUAGGCAAGAUGACAAUAGACAAGAAUAGUCCUUGAGUUUACCAGUAAAAGGGAUGAAAAGACUGAAAAUACUGGUUGAAUCUUGCAUUAGAAAGGUGGACUGAAUAGGGGAUGAGAGUAAAUAAAAAAAAAGUUCAGCAAGGCGGCAAGAAUAUGGAUGACAUACGGUUAACAACGUAAUAAAAAUGACAUUAGAUAUUAAGAGAUGCAGUACUGUGGCGGUGAGUGAGAAAAUGAAGGGAAGGAAUCGUUGAAACGAAAGACUUUUGACACUUCUCUGUUUGUGAGGAGCAAGUUUUUAGACGAAUGAGGCUCCUGUAUACAGUAAACAAGUGGGAGGGGGGAAACUAUUGGUAGAGACGAUAGAAAAUACCCAACUUUAUGGAACUUACAUUACGCUCAUUGCGUAUAUUGCGUUUAUAGCGUCCAUUCAGCAUCACUGAACGUCUUUUGCGUUUCCUUAUUUUUUUUUUAUAAUCUAACCGAAGUUUGUACAAACCAUUCUUUUCAGUACUUCUAGCAACAUGAGGGCAUACAAAAGACAUCGGCAUCAAGGUAACACAACCUAUACUUGUAUUAAUCUGUGGAGUGGAUGUCAUCGACAUUGUUUAAAAAAUAGAAACUAUCAAAGUUCACACAGUUUUUGAAAUAUUACAAAAUGAUUUUGCUUCAUUACCAAAAUUACUGCAUGAUAAGAAUCUCAUUGGGAUGACUGAAUGAACAAUAAUCCUUCCUUUUUUAUAAGUCUAGAUUUCUUUUGUUGCAUAUCCAACAAUGAGCCAUUGUUUUUCAAAGAACAGAGGUAAACGGUGACAAGCAGGUCACUAUAAAAUGAGUGUCCGCCUUCUUUUCUCACAGUCGUCCCAGUAGCCGCGUCUUGGAGUGCCGAGGAAAACCAGGACAGCAGCCAUGAAACUUUUGGUAUCGAUGUGUCUGAUGUUAGUGGGAGUCACCGCCCAGUUUACGCCUACGGGUAUUAAGCAUCGUGACGGAACUUUCACGCAGUUCACUCCUGCGGAGGCUGCCAACGUUGUCGUCAUCGGGACGUCUGGCGUGGUCAUGCACGACGGAAAAAACUUUCAAUAUACCCUCGAAAUGGCUGCCAACCACAACAGUCUGCCCCUGCCGGCGUUCCUCUCUAGCAGCCAGAGAUAGGCGUUUGAAGAACCGUCAGUCGAAAGGGAAGCUGCUUCGGCUCUCUCGGGGCGUCAUUGUUCUCUUGGCUGGCCCCUCCGCAGGCAGACUCUACAACACCGAGGUCAUCCACUAUGAACACUACUUUUUUUUAUCGUCGUCGCUGUCAGGAAGCUGCUAGAACAUGUGGCUAGUGAAACAUCUUAUUACUUCAAAUGACAAUCGUGCCCUCAGGGAGGCUCAGGUGACCAUAAUAAAGCGUUUGAUGACGCGUUUGGCUGACUAGACUCAACUCUGACGAAUUGGACUUUUUUAUCAUCAACUGAUAGACGUCUUUUUGGACAAAAGAUAACAGACUUUCAAUAAGUGCAAAUGUAUGUCGAUAUAACACAUACAAAUGUAAGCUAAGGUUAGAUAAUCAAAUUUUGAAAUACUAGGGAUUUGUAAAAUGUCAUCAUGAACGGGCUCUGCCAUGAUGAUAUAGGCUAUUACAUAAAUAUGACUUAUAAUCACUACUGGCAAUGAAAUUUAUUGCAUUAUUAUAAUAUUGAAUUUAUUGUGCAUAGCUUGAAAUUAAUUUAAAAACUGCGUGUAUGACCAGCGGUGUAACAAAAUUUAUUUACAUAAAUAUCAUUAAAUUCUGUGAAAUAAAUCCAAAUUUGUAUC